rnacentral:rRNA from 1 species
GACGAACCGUGCGAACGUUAUUCGGAAUCACUGGGCUUAAAGGGCGCGUAGGCGGGCUCGCAGGUCAGGGGUGAAAGCCCACGGCUCAACCGUGGAAGUGCCUUUGAUACCGUGAGUCUCGAGGGAGGUAGGGGCAUGUGGAACUUCCGGUGGAGCGGUGAAAUGCGUAGAUAUCGGAAGGAACGCCGGUGGCGAAAGCGACGUGCUGGACCUCUUCUGACGCUGAGGCGCGAAAGCCAGGGGAGCGAACGGG